UUAUUAUUAUUAUUAUUAUUUUCUAAUUUAAAAAUUUUGGGUCGUCACACCGGGGCUUCGGUCGCCGGCUCCCCUAUCAUCAGGUCACCAACUUCCGUGACCUUUCGGCACUGGGCAGGCGUCAUCCCCCAUACAUGGUCUUACAACUUUGCGGAGACCUGUGUUUUUGAUAAACAGUCACUUGGGCCUGGUCACUACGACCCCCUUUGUGAGGAGGCACCCCUUCUCUACCUACCCACCUGUGUUGGUUUCGGGUACAGGUAUCAUAUUCCUCUGUGAUGCAACAGUAUCAUCUACUGUGUGCAUGCAUGUGUUUUGAAAUUACGCAUGCACCAAUAGUUUUGUAUGUAGUAUAUGUAAUCUCUAUGUAUGUAUUUAUAUAAAAUCAUCCAUGACAUUGGUUUGGAAGUUUUGAUAGGAAGUGCAAAGGAAAAAGUUCAGUGGCUAGUAGCCCAUCUAGCCUGUCCAUUUUGAAGUCCCUCCACAUCUGAAUCAUAAAUAAUCACAGCAAACUGAGUUGAAAAUCUAUUGAAAGUAAGACCAUCAUACCUUAUUCACCUAUCAUACUAGGGAAUAACCUUCAAGGGGACUGCACUAGGUGGUAAGGGACCUGAGUCACUUGGGUGUUUAGAGAGUUUGCUUCGUUCCAAAUCAUUGCACAAGCCAAUGAGAUUGAGGGUGUAUUGGUUAACCUUGUGUGUUGAGGUUCUUCUUUGACCUCUGACGAAUAGGAUGUGAUUCCAGUCAGAACUUGGUACCUCCAUGAAUCUGCUGAAAAGUCGGUUGGUAUUUCCAAUUAGAUUUUCAAAGAUCUGUUUUUCAUGAAAUGUGCUCCAUUUAAGUAGGCCUAAGCAUGGAAGAAGAUCAUAAGCUUCUUGGUAUAUUUGAUUAAUGGAAAAGUAGAUCCAUGUGUUUAGGGCUUUCCUUUAUAUUUAAGGUCAAUGCUUUCUGGCGCAUAGUAUGCACAUUUUCUUUUAUAUUGACGUUGUGUAUUCAUUCGAAUUACUUUCAAUUUAAUUUUCUGUCUGAUUGCUAUGGUGGACUGCAUUAGCAUUGCACCAUUGUGGAUAACAGUUGCACUUGAUGCCAUAGAUCAGCUUUGGCUACUCUUUGGUGCUGCUUGCAAUAACUCAGUUUCCUUCUUUUAUUGCUAGAGAGCUUGUAUGAAAAGAUCCUAGGUGUACAUUAGUAUCUUGCUUCAUUGAAUUCAAAGACAUUAUCUGUUAUUUAUAAAUAAGUGGAAUCUAUAAUAUGCGUUAUUAUCUCGAUUCUGUUGUGCAUGUUUUACAAGAGGCAUGGUAAUGGCUGCUACAAACUUUACGAGUUCUUUGAAAAAAACUGGCAUAUCAGUCCCAAGCACUGCUCAAAUUAAGCAGUCAGCUUCAUCAUUUAAGAGAUGGGGUCGAAAAUAUCCAUUUGUACGAUAUGGCCUUCCACUUAUUUCUCUGACUGUGUUGGGUUCAGUUGGCCUUGGUCAUCUUUUACAGGGCAGUAAAGAGGUGGAGAAAGUAAAGGACGAUCGGGAAUGGGAGAUCAUUCAAACUACAAGGGCCUUGUCAAGAACUGGACCCUUGGAAGGAUCAAAACGAAAGCAGAUCUCUCUAGAGGAGGAACUCAAGGCCUUGCAAAAAAGUGUCGACAUAAAUAACUAUGAGUACAAGAGAAUUCCCAAACCAAAUGAAGGGAAAACAGGUGCAAGUUGAGCUUGAGCAUGUAUAGAUGGAUAUCAUCGUCUCCCUCUUUCCAUAUUGUCUGGUUGCAGAGAUUCAUCAAGGAACUGUGGGCUGUCAAAGAUGUUUCAAUGAAUCCAGACAUGGAGAUUGAGAUGGUACUGAGAUGGCUUAGGAGGCAGGACUCACGUAUGAGGAAGGGAAUGCCAUCUGUUUCAUGGAGCUCUCUGCAAUAAAACCCUUCUCUUACUUCUUCCAGACCCUAAUUCAUGCCCCCCAUUCUGCGAAUAGCUCCUCUUAUAAGCUCAAGACUUUUCAGAAACCCUCAGAGCUUCAAACUGCUGGGACUCGAGCACCAUUAAAGAUGGCACAGUGUAAGCUCGGAGUUAAUGUUACCCAUUUGGAUUCAGAGGGUGAGAGGCUGCUGCUGCUGCUGCUAUUUGUAGGGCUUCUAACUCCCCUAUGGAAUUUGUUCAGAUAUUUGAGGAGCCUUUAAAGGAUGAGAAGAUGGCUUCACCUAGCUCGGACUUUCUGAGUCUUUAUAUUGAGCAGCUUGAUUUGGUAAGAAGAAUUGUGGGUUGAGAUGUCAUUGGUUGGGGUUUGGUGCCACUUAUAAUGUUCAUUCCAAAUAGUUUGGAACUUUAAAUAUUUUUUCCUCAUGAGGAGGCAGGGCUCAGGCAAAUCCACUUGGACUCAUCUGAGGUACUUGGCUCAGGCAAGGGCAAAGUCCCGAGACCAAGCCGAGUAAUUGAACUCUGGUAUCAUCAGAGACACCCAUCCAACUCUUGUGUGAACAAAUAUGGGUUGAGUAUGAAACUUGAUUAUGAUUGCAGUCUUGUCUAAGUAGAACCCACACUAUAUCACCAAGAUAUAGUGCUCCGUUGUGUGCUUUAGCUCUUUGUUUUGGAAGACUUUUUGCAGCUCGGUUAUCUGGGAAACUUUUGUUUUGAAGAGAUUUUGGCAUGGGUUUCACAUUUUGUUAGGUAAUUUCAAUGUUUUUUUAUGUGGGAAAUAAUUUAGUGGCCAUGCAUGGUGUGCUCCUGCAAGCGCAAGUUUGUAUGCUUGCCUUGGUGAACCUUGUUAGGAGGGAUCUUAUUAACAUGGAAUUCUGCAAAUGUACCAUAUGAAACAUUUCAAGAGAAAAAAAAACGUGAUUUUGAGGUGGUAACAACCUAGAUUUUACAGCCCAACCAAUGGCAAGCUUUGUUUAAAAAUCUUUUGGACCAUUGAUGUGGUAUAUGUUUUUUUCUCUUAGAUCGGUCACUGAGAUGAGUAAAGAUUGUUUGUGAAUCUUGGGUUCAAGCAUUUACCCGUGGUUAGGUUUUUGUCCACGCUUGGCU